UCCACCUCUCGACGCCUCCCGUAUCUCCGCCGUCCUUCGCCCUCCGGACGCCUGCUCCGUCUGGGCGGGGCGAAGAAGGUGCCCAAUCUUCCUGAUUUGCUUGAUUAGUUAACAUUUGUAGUCUGAUUUUACCUCUUCCAUGGACCUCUUUGGAUGGUCGCCGCGGGCAAGUGACAGGGCUACAUCGAUUACGGAGCAGCGAUCAGGGGCAUUGGAGCAGGCACGGCCAACCACCAACAAGCAGCAAUAACAGGGAAGGUACAAGGUGGAGAACUUGAGACCUGAGAAAUAAAUCCAUGUUAUGAACAUGUUAAUCUUAGAUUAUUGAGAGCACAAAGGAUGCAGAAAGAAAGGGGCAGCAUGGUGAUUUUAAGCCAUUUCUCUGAGGCUCUGUUCACUGAUGGAAUAAUUUUCUCUUCCAGAGACAUGUUUUCCACAAGAAUCAAGCAAGUUCAGAUAUUAGAUCUGACCGCUGAAUACUACAUACCCCAACGUGCAACAAAUUCAAGGUGGUUUGCUGAGAACAUGGGUUUUAGGAUCAUCCAGAGCGACCUAGGAUAUGAAGAAGCCUCCAGUGGUGUCUAGCUGAUAUUAAGCCGUCUGUGCCAUUCCCCAAUCUGCAUACAUUGCAGUGGACUUAUAAUUGCUUCAAGGUAAAGUCUGGUUUUAGACAAAAUCAAUGCGGAGAAACUACUGGCCGGUUCGUGAGCGAUGCACUACGGUGAAGGGAGAUCAGAUAAUAGGCAUGCGUUCUUAAUUUGGACGAAAUUCGGCAGCUCUUAUUACAUCGCAAUUUGUCAUAGCAUUACUCCUGGAUCAUUUGCAGAGUUCCAAGGAAAAAUAAGAAAUGAAAAUAUAUGAUGUAAAUCUUAGGAAUUGACCUAGAUAGAUAUAUCUCUUUUAGAAAUGUGCAGCCUUUUUGUUUGAUGGUGUUUGAUUAAGGUAUAUCUUUAAAGUUUAAACUGAUAUACGUUUUCUUAAAGUUUAAUUCAAUUUUUUUUAGUUUAAAUGUCUUUUAAUUACCAGAAUAUGUGAAAGUUUAAAUGCCAAAGCUAGGUUUCGUUUCUAAGUGCAAGGUCCAGCUUUCAGCAACAGAGCAAUGCUUAUGUUUGAAUGCCACUAUUUUCUUCUUGUUUCUAUUCAAUACUACACCUUACCGUGUGGUGCUGCUCUGCACGAGCCGUGUAACGUCCGCGACCAGUACGCCCCUCUCGUCGCUUGACGGCGCGAGAUCCUCGAUGCGCAGCUUAUGAUACCUGGAGUAUUAUUUUCCUCUCAGUAUGAGGUUUGCUUAUUGAGUUUGCUCCUGCGCCUUUCCUCUUCUGUUACCCCUCUGAGCUUUUUCUUGCUUUAUUUAUUGGAGUAGUAUAUCCUCCCCCUUUUACCUGCCUGUCAAAUUCUAAAUAAGAAUGAAUGAUAAACUCCCAAGUUCUGAAUUAUGGACUUGGAGUAGUAUAUCCGUACUUUUGAAUUUUCGAUAGUUACUGCUAAGUUUGGUCAAUACUUGGAUGAUAAUUACUCCCUGCCACUUGUGUGUGAAAAUUCUUGAAACUCUUGAGGAGUGAUAGUUACUGCUAAGGGAUAUCUGAGAAGUGUUCUGGAGUAAGUGAAGUUUGCAGAUUAUGAGUUGUCCUCAGUCAUAAACUUGUACAGUUGUAUUGUACCAGAUGACGCCCUCAUUUGGAAAAUACAGAUAAUCUAAGCAAGAUCAAUUCUCUGUAUUUGGUUUAAGUUGUACAUGUAUAGCUCAACGAAAUAAUGCACAACUCUGUUCAUAUUGGGGCAGCAAGUACACCUUCAGUAUAAAAACUCGUGUACAGUUCAGCCGUGCUUUGGGUACUAAUAUGAUUUGGUUAAUUCGUGCACAGCUGGGUGCUAUGUCUUGCCUAUUUCUAUGUUUUUAUAUGCUUUCUCAUGCAUUUCCCUACUUUUAUCCUAUGCUUAAAGAAAUAUGUUAGUUACCUCCAAAAUACUAAAGCUACCAUUGUGAUCAUGAUUUUUUAAAUGAAAGUGUCAACUGCUCUACCGCAUGUACUAUACAUUUACUGUCAUUUGUUCGAUACAGAAUUGUUGAACUUGUGUUUGAAAGUGUUCUUUCCAUGGCUGCCAUACCAGAAAUGACAAUGUGACAGAGAAGUCCAUCAUUCGGAAGGAGAAGCAGUGAACUACUGAAGCAACCUGGAGUACAAUGGCGAGGCGGAUGACGGUAACGACGAGGCCAUCCACAAGAUCAAGGUUGUGGCCAAAAAGGUGAAGGAUUUUUUUUUGCCAUUUCUUUUAGUGGUUAUAAACUGUUCUGGUUGAUUGCUUUCACGUGUGAUGUUUGCUUGGUAACACUAGCAUGAGCUGCUGCCGCCGAAGAUGUUCGUGACCUGCUGUUGGCCACCUGCACAACCUGCUGCUCCCCCGUCGUUGCUAAAGUAGUCAUGGACACAGGAAGCCCUUGCAGUUGUUGACCACCACGGCGAGCAGCAUCACUGCGCCGUUCGCAAACAAGAAUGGCAUGCU